UUGCAUUUACUUGAUUUUUCAACAAUUUGACAUUAUGUUAUUAGGAUUAAGAUCUAAAUUGUCCUAUGUACCUAUUAUAUAGUAUUAUAUCUUAUAAAAUUAAUUAUACAUUAUGAAUUUUAUUUUUUUAACCCCAAGAUUAAUUUUGCAGUCUUCCAUACUCUUUCUAUUCCUUCCUGUCACCAGCUAACAUCUUCAAUUUGUUAGUUAUCUGUAUUUAUUUGAUGAAACUUGUAAAAUUAUUUGUUUGGCAAUUUUAAUUGUCCUCUGCUUGUCUUAUCAUUUAUUUUUACUUUUCUUUAUUCUAUAAAUUAUAUUAUAACAUGUCUCAAAAUAUAUCAAUAUAUGUUCUAUUAUCUCCUUAUAAUUGUUCUUAAUAUCUUAGUAGGUAUAUCUCUAGGAGAAUUAUUAAUACAGCAUAUAAUACAUAUUUGACACAAAUUAAGUAUAUAUUUGGACAAUAACUAAUACACAGUUUUCU